GAUUAACGCUAGCGGCAGGCCUAAUACAUGCAAGUCGAACGGGAUUCAAAGUAGCAAUAUUUUGAUGAGAGUGGCGCACGGGUGAGUAACACGUAUGCAAUUUACCUUUAACUGGGGGAUAGCCCUCCGAAAGGAGGAUUAAUACCGCAUAAUAUAUUGAAAUGGCAUCAUUUUAAUAUUAAACCUACGGGGGUUAAAGAUGAGCAUGCAUCCGAUUAGCUAGUUGGUGUGGUAACGGCUCACCAAGGCAACGAUCGGUAGGGGUCUGAGAGGAUGAUCCCCCACACUGGUACUGAGACACGGACCAGACUCCUACGGGAGGCAGCAGUAAGGAAUAUUGGACAAUGGAGGCAACUCUGAUCCAGCCAUGCCGCGUGAAGGAUUAAGGCCCUAUGGGUUGUAAACUUCUUUUAGACGGGUACAAAACCCCUUUACGUAGUAAAGGGUUGAUGGUACUGUCAGAAUAAGCAUCGGCUAACUUCGUGCCAGCAGCCGCGGUAACACGAG
rnacentral:rRNA from 1 species